CCCUUGUCUGUGUCCCUCCAAGUCAAUGGCGCUACCAUCCGCUUUACCUCCAGGGUUCGCUGCCUAGGUGUUCUCCUUGACUCCGACCUCUCCUUUACCCCCAUGUCCAAUCAAUCACUAAAUCCUGCCGCUUCCAUCUCAAAAAUAUUGUGCGCGUCUGACCCUAUAUAACGCCUGAUAUGGCAAAGGUGCUUGUAAAUGCCGCUGUCC